GGAGCGGCCAGGCGACCGCGGCGCCGACGACGGUGUCGAGGAAAGUCCGGACUCCACAGGGCAGGAUGCUGGGUAACUCCCAGGCGCGGUGACGCGCGGAAAGCGCAACAGAGAGCAGACCGCCUCCGCCACGCGGAGGUAAGGGUGAAACGGUGGUGUAAGAGACCACCAGCGUCCCAGGUGACUGGGAUGGCUAGGCAAGCCCCAUCCGGAGCAAGGCCAAGCAGGGACAGGGUGGCCCGCCCGCGACGUCCCAGGUAGGCCGCUAGAGGCGUCGGGUAACCGGCGUCCCAGAGAGAUGGUCGCCACCCGCCGUUCGCAACGGCGGCGGGGACAGGAUCCGGCUUACCGGCCGACUCCUCCC
rnacentral:RNase_P_RNA from 1 species